rnacentral:rRNA from 1 species
GUGGGGAAUAUUGGACAAUGGGCGAAAGCCUGAUCCAGCCAUGCCGCGUGUGUGAAGAAGGUCUUCGGAUUGUAAAGCACUUUAAGUUGGGAGGAAGGGCAGUAAGUUAAUACCUUGCUGUUUUGACGUUACCGACAGAAUAAGCACCGGCUAACUUCGUGCCAGCAGCCGCGGUAAUACGAAGGGUGCAAGCGUUAAUCGGAAUUACUGGGCGUAAAGCGCGCGUAGGUGGUUUUGUAAGUUGGAGGUGAAAUCCCCGGGAUCAACCUGGGAACUGCCUCCAAAACUGCAUGACUAGAGUACGGUAGAGGGUAGUGGAAUUUCCUGUGUAGCGGUGAAAUGCGUAGAUAUAGGAAGGAACACCAGUGGCGAAGGCGACUACCUGGACUGAUACUGCCACUGAGGUGCGAAAGCGUGGGGAGCAAACAGGAUUAGAAACCCGAGUAGUCC